CUCCUACGGGAGGCAGCAGUGGGGAAUAUUGCACAAUGGGCGCAAGCCUGAUGCAGCCAUGCCGCGUGUAUGAAGAAGGCCUUCGGGUUGUAAAGUACUUUCAGCGGGGAGGAAGGGAGUAAAGUUAAUACCUUUGCUCAUUGACGUUACCCGCAGAAGAAGCACCGGCUAACUCCGUGCCAGCAGCCGCGGUAAUAAGGGCG
rnacentral:rRNA from 1 species